AACUUUCGGCAACGGAUCUCUUGGUUCUCGCAUCGAUGAAGAACGCAGCGAAUUGCGAUAUGUAAUGUGAAUUGCAGAAUUCAGUGAAUCAUCGAAUCCUUGAACGCACAUUGCACCCUCUGGUAUUCCGGAGGGUAUGCCUGUUUGAGUGUCAUUAAUCUCUCAACGCAACCAAGUUUGUCUUGUUGUGCUUGGAUGUUGAAGGCUGCUGGCUUCACGGUCAGCUCCUUUUAAAUUCAUUAGUGGAACUAUGAAGGACCAGCCUCGGUUUGAUAAUCCUAUCUAUGCUGUCGCUGAGAAUCGUUUGAUCUGCUUCUAAUUGUCCCUUUGGGACUGUCUCUUAUGAGGCAUACACUUGACUCUUGACCUCAAAUCAGGUAGGACUACCCGCUGAACUUAAGCAUAUCAAUAAGCGGAGGCU
rnacentral:misc_RNA from 1 species